rnacentral:lncRNA from 1 species
ACCUAUGUUAUGGCAAGUGUGGCCUAGAGAGUGGCAUAUGUGACAAGGUAGGACCUGGUUAUGUCAUUGUGGCUAUAUGUAUUCCUAAAUUGGGAAUUGGAUCAUACUCACAUUGGUUUCGGCUUGAGGGAGGUAGCUCCUCCUCAAGUGGUGUACUCCGAAGUGUAGACACCACGGGGAGAGUACCCCGGCGAAGAUCCCUCGGGUGGUAGUGCCAAGUGCCUCCCCCGGUAGACGGGAUAUAUGGAUUGUGAGCUUGGGGUAACAAGUGUUAACCGAGAUAAUUGGGUAAAGGCCAAAGUGAAUGCGUGAAAAUAGGCAUUAUGAGCUAUGGAUUUGGUAUUCCAGUUGAGUGGAUUUAUGGCCGAGGUGCAUGUGGGACGUUCUUCACCUCGAGCCUGGACGUAUGCGGUAUUCCGCAGAUGAUUGACUCGAGACCGAGUCGGGUGGUUAGCUUGGCCAGGGUAGAGGAAAACCUUAGGAGCAAAUAACCAAUGCUGUAAAGUGACAAGAUGUAUAAAUUAUGGAAAAGCUAUGGAUAGCAUGAUAGAAAUUAAAAUCAUUUAUUCUACUUGUAUAGUUGCAUGAUUCGCAUAUAGCAUGGCAUUAUUGCAUUCGUGAGGCAAAGUAUGGUUUUAUUAGUUUCAUAAUAAAGAUAUAUAUCUAUCUGUUUAUUGAACUAACUUGCAGUUGCCUCCCUUGGACCUAUUGGUCGAGCUCUUUCCUUGGGUGGCCAUACCCACUGGGAACCAUGGAGUUGGUUCUCACCCCACGUUGUUUUGGGGUGUUACAGGUAUACACGUGAGCGGCGCGGCGGCGCGAGGCGAGGGCAUAGCUCCGUAGUUAGCACCCCACCACCAAGACCAGAGAUAGCGGUACCCUGAGUCGGCCUUACUUAGGGAUGUAAGGAAAUGAAAAGAAUCAAUUUGUAAUAAUAUUGUUAAAGCUAGAUUGUAUUUGGAAGCUAAAAAGAAUGUAAUAUGUAAUUGUGAUGUAAAAUGUAUCUAUUGAAUGUGAAUGCUUGUAAUAACAAGUAGAUUAUGUUUUUGAUACUUCCUUAUGCAAUCUUUGAUUGAAAUGUGUUCCUGGUUGGAACUUUGUACAUUGUAUUGAUUGCGAUGCCUUGAAUGUACAGGGGAGACU